rnacentral:rRNA from 1 species
UACGUAGGUGGCAAGCGUUGCUCGGAAUUAUUGGGCGUAAAGGGCGCGUAGGCGGCUCGUUAAGUCGGUUGUGAAAGCCCGGGGCUCAACCCCGGAGGGUCGACCGAUACUGGCAAGCUAGAGUACAGAAGAGGUAGCUGGAAUUCCCGGUGUAGCGGUGAAAUGCGUAGAUAUCGAGAGGAACACCUGCGGCGAAGGCGGGUUGCUGGGCUGAUACUGACGCUGAGGCGCGAAAGCCAGGGGAGCGAACGGG